rnacentral:rRNA from 1 species
GCAUAUCAAUAAGCGGAGGAAAAGAAACCAACAGGGAUUGCCCUAGUAACGGCGAGUGAAGCGGCAACAGCUCAAAUUUGAAAUCUGGCUUCGGCCCGAGUUGUAAUUUGUAGAGGAAGCUUUAGGCGCGGCACCUUCUGAGUCCCCUGGAACGGGGCGCCAUAGAGGGUGAGAGCCCCGUAUAGUUGGAUGCCUAGCCUGUGUAAAGCUCCUUCGACGAGUCGAGUAGUUUGGGAAUGCUGCUCAAAAUGGGAGGUAAAUUUCUUCUAAAGCUAAAUAUUGGCCAGAGACCGAUAGCGCACAAGUAGAGUGAUCGAAAGAUGAAAAGCACUUUGAAAAGAGGGUUAAAUAGCACGUGAAAUUGUUGAAAGGGAAGCGCUUGUGACCAGACUUGCGCCGGGCGGAUCAUCCGGUGUUCUCACCGGUGCACUCCGCCCGGCUCAGGCCAGCAUCGGUUCUCGUGGGGGGAUAAAGGCCCUGGGAACGUAGCUCCUCCGGGAGUGUUAUAGCCCAGGGUGUAAUGCCCUCGCGGGGACCGAGGUUCGCGCAUCUGCAAGGAUG